CACCAGCUUUGAGGCAUCUGCUCCCAGCAAAAGGUUAAACCAGUUACUAUCAGGCAUCGGCCGCAGGAUUCUAUAGUACAAUCAAAAGAUUACAAUACAAUGAAUGCACCGACAAAAGUGAGAUCUCCAUCAGAUACCACUCGUUCAAAGUUCAUUGGCAAGGCUAUAAUGCCAAGGCAAGUACAGGCAAUAUAAUGAGCUGGCAGAGUAUAUUUGCCGAAGCCGGCACAGUGGUUACAAAUCUAUCUUUUUAAUUUCCUUUAUCCCCAUGAUGCACUUAUGCACUACUGCCUACUGUUACAGCAAAGACAAGACUUUUUUGCCCCCCGUAUAGCUUAACAAACUUUGCACAAAAUGGAUGCUCAAGGGAAGAAAAGCAAAGGCAAGGCUCACCUGCUGAUCCUCUGGGGCUCGUUCUCCGAGGACAUGACGAUCACCGGGAUGGGUUUCAGGGGGCUCAGCGCCUGAAAACAUCCAUGGAAAUUAUGGAAAUUGCAAGAGCAAAUACUCCAGUAUAUACGAGCACGAGGGUCACUCAUAACACAAGUGCGAAAGAAAAAAAUAUGCAGUGAUCAAUUUUUUACCUUGAUGGCUUUGAGAAGGUCGUACCCUGUCAUCUCCGGCAUGCAGUAGUCAGUGAGCACCAUGUCGAUGUCCUGCUGCUCCUGCAAAACCCCACAGGUGAAACCAAUUAAUUAGCCUAAUCCAAGAAACAGCUUUUUUCUAACCGUGCCUUUUACUACAGGUUUCGUGUCAUCUAGCUGCCAGACAGCCUUGGCAGGGCCGCUGUUAAACCCUCACGCGCGCAUGCGCGAGCACCCCGUACGUACGGUACGGUGGUCGGCCGGCGUGCCACCGGCUGGCGGUGCGCCACCGUGGCGCCAUUGGCCAGAGGCAAGGAAAAAAAGAAGAAAAACUCAGCUGUUGUUUUGCAGUAUAAUCUUACCUUGCCGUCCUUCAAGCCGAGGAACUCCAUGGCCUUCUUGGCGCUGUCGACGGCGAUAACUGUAUGAAAUCAAGCUAUGGUUCAGAUUGUAGUACUAAUGGAAUCAUCAUGGCGCAGAAACACCACAAGAAUGAGAAAGGAAGACCAAAAACAGAGUUCGGAGAUGGAACGAUGGAUUUUGCAGCCGCUUUUGUACUUUGCACACAUGCUCGCUCUCCAGGACAAAAGAAGAAAAGAAGCAUCGAUUUACUUUUCCUUUUCUUUCUUUAGACAGAUUAUUUCCUUCUUCUUUUUUAACUUGCGAACCGAACCGCGAAAUGGAAACAAGCAAACAGAGCAAUAGCACGGGAGGCAAGGCAAAUAAGAAAGCGUCGUCCGGCGGAAAUUUCAGCAUGGGCAGCAAAUGAAAUUGAACCGCCGCCA